AAGGGCACCACAAGAACGCGUGGAGCAUGUGGCUUAAUUUGACUCAACGCGGGAAAUCUUACCGGGUCCGGACACACUGAGGAUUGACAGGCAAAAGAUACAAGUUUUGAACUUGCAUUGUAAAAUAUGCGAGUCCUUUCAUGAUUAUGUGAUAGGUGGUGCAUGGCCGUUCUUAGUUCGUGGAGUGAUCUGUCUGCUUAAUUGCGUUUCAUAACGAUUUAAAACACUGUGUUUUUACGUUUGMUGUUCACCUGACUCCGGUUCAGGUUUGAACGCACGUAGCAUGGUUAAAAACAAUCGGAAAGCAACGAACGUGACCGCAACCUCUUGUUGCCUUUAUUUUUAAAGCAUAUUCGCUGAUUAUUAUCUUCGGGUAGUAGUUACGCUGAGUGUGUUGAAAAAGGCUUUAAAACUAGAGGGACCGCUGUUCUAUUUUCUUAAACCAGAGGAAGAUUGCGGCAAUAACAGGUCUGUGAUGCCCUCAGAUGUUCCGGGCUGCACACGUGCUACAAUGAUUGUUGCAGUGAGCAUCUAUUUUCAAACGCUAUCGUUGUGGAUUUUUGUAGUUAUGAUUUUGACUUCGGUUGGGGUUGUAAUUACAAGUUUAUUCGCGUAACGAUUUAGCUAAACCUUCUUCGAAAGCAAGUAGGUAAUCAAUUGGAAGUAACGAUUUCCUUUUUUUGGAAAGUACAACUUAUUGGCUCAAUACGCUAUGCGAGUUCAUUUUCUUCGGAAGGUGUUCUUUUGUCGUAGUUGUUUGGGUAUCUGUACUAAAACACUUUAUUUCAAGGUGGGGACAGACCAUUGUUAAUUGUUGGUCUCGUUUUAACUAGGAAUGCCUUGUACGGGUUGGUUCAUCAAACCACCCGGAAUACGUCCCUGCCCUUUGUACACACCGCCCGUCGCUCUUACCGAUGGACUUCUCUGUGAGGUUGAGGGACUGGGAUUUCGAUCCUACGGAAACUUAAUCGAACAGGGUGGUCUAAAGGAAAGAGAAGUCGUAACAAGGCAUCGGUAGGUGAACCUGCAGAAGGAUCA
rnacentral:rRNA from 1 species